CUGAAAACAUAAACUCCUCACUUUUCUUACUGAUUUCUAGAUUUUGAAAACCCCUGUGGAGAGUAGAAUCCUGUUUGUAUUGGCUCCUUGACCUGGAUAUUUGAGUGGGGUGGGUAAGUUGUUAGGGAAACAGCAGAAAUAGGCACAAACGACUGCAGUGCAUCAGCAUAUUUUAACAGCAUGCACUCAAAAUAAUUUGCAUAUUCCUUUCAUUAAUACGACAAACAACAAGCUGUCGUUAGAGAUGCUGCUCGUGUAUUACUGUUUGGAAAUUAUUUCCUUUGUAUGUAGAAAAUGUAAGUUGGCCCUUAAGAAAUCUGAAAUAAUGGCUGAAGAUCAAAGAAGGCCAACAAGAUCUGUUUUGCUUCUUUCACGGUGCAUCAGCUCAUGAGAGAUGGGGGUGGGAAUUCAAGCCUGCCAAUACUCCAACUUCUCCCUGCAGACAUAAUAUUUGGGGGCAAAAUGUAUGCUAGGACUCCUUAUUUUUAACAGGUGUCUCUACCUACCAGAGGAAAGAACCAUAUAUGGAGGCUCUGUUUUGCCCUCUUCUGCAUUAGCAGUCCCUACUCUGCAUGGUUUGAUUGCCUAAUUUAUCCGUUCUUACAAUUUAAUUACGUAACAGGGCAAUCCUACACACACACACACACAAUAAGGGGCACUGAGUUCAAUAGACCAUACUCCCAGCCAUAUAGGAUUGCAGCUUAAAGCAUGUUAGCAGUUUGAAACAGGAUUGCUGAAGCAUAUUUAAGCUGCUGUGUUCCAAAGCUUGCUUAAGAAGCAAGUGACUUUGAAACAGAGCCAAAGGCAGGCAGCCCUGAAAUAACUAAUGUAGUAAGAAAAAUGAAGCAGCACAAUGGAGAAUAAACUCUUAAAACAGAACAGAGUAGAAAUAGCAGGAAUAACUAACAAGACAAAUCACUCUGGGGGCCUUCUUACAAAUGCUCAUAUGUUGGAGACUGGCAUUGUGCAGCCUGGGGCCUGACAGGCCUCAUAAGGACUUCUGCUGCUGCUCAGCGAGGACUGGGGUAUUUGGGAAGAAGUUUCAUUGGAAGUUUUUACUGUUGUUACUGAUAUUAACUUUUUGUAUCUUUAUUUUUAUGUGGAAAUUGUUCAGUUUGGUUAUGUAGUUUUUUUAUGUGUUUUAUUUAUUUUUAUGACUACUUUGCUAUAUUUGUAACCAGCUGUUCCCGGCCACGUGUUGCUGUGGCAGUCAUUUCCCCC